rnacentral:rRNA from 1 species
AUACGUAGGGGGCGAGCGUUGUCCGGAAUGAUUGGGCGUAAAGGGCGCGUAGGCGGCCCGGUAAGUCUGGAGUGAAAGUCCUGUUUUUAAGAUGGGAAUUGCUUUGGAUACUGUCGGGCUUGAGGGCAGGAGAGGUAAGUGGAAUUCCCAGUGUAGCGGUGAAAUGCGUAGAGAUUGGGAGGAACACCAGUGGCGAAGGCGGCUUACUGGACUGUAACUGACGCUGAGGCGCGAAAGUGUGGGGAGCAAACAGGAUUAGAUACCCUGGUAGUCCACACUGUAAACGAUGAAUGCUAGGUGUAGGGGGUAUCGACCCCUUCUGUGCCGCAGUCAACACAAUAAGCAUUCCGCCUGGGGAGCACGGCCGCAAGGUUGAAACUCAAAUGAAUUGACGGGG